UUGAAGUAGCCUGAAAGUGUCUCGCAGCGUUAUCCGUUUAAUUUCGCGAUCGGCGUUUGGAGAAUUUGGGGACAGACAGACAACUCAUCUGAGGGUGAGUGAGGUGGAGGGACAAGGGUCGCCAUCAUCCAUCUAGCGAGCUGUUCGGGAGGGAGGGGAGGGGAUGGGACUCGAUUCCAUUCCAUGGCCGUGGAUCCGAAGCAACAGUGGCGGUGUUCUGGUCUCACUUGGCCAGCAAGCGCGGUGACCUGUGGCGGACGCCGAGGUGCAAUGUAGUGACCUCUUCUCUUCUUUCUUCUCCCCUUCUACCUCCUCUCUCUUUAUCUUCCUUCUUCUUCCUCCUCCUUCUCAACCCAAUGGCGAUCUAGCCAGUAGGUGAGGGACUUGAACCACUCAGCCCCCAUGUGGAUCCGCCCCUGCCGGUGACACUGAUGCAUGCACCUCAGCUCGCUAGCUAGCCAAUUUCGAUUGCUUCUUUGGAGGGUUUCGUGCUUCAUGCCAAGGGCGUGAUCAUCGUCAGGUCAGGUCAGGUCAGAUCAGAUCAGAUCAGGUCACGUGUGCGCGCGUGCGUACUUCUAGAAGCUUUUGUAGUCUUCGGGUUGUUCCAUGAUCUACGUGCCGUUUCAUGCUGUCGGCGCUUCCUUCGUUCUCAGAAUCAUUCAUUCCUGAAUCCUGAGGGCCCACCAGCAGAAGCACUAUGAGCCAUCGUCAUGUACCUGUCUGUAUACACAAAUGUUCCUCCACUGGAGAAAAAACUUCUUGAUCUGGAGUAAUUAUUCUACUACAGAGUAUUCAGAAGCGGAUCCACCCAGGGUUAUGGAGAGAGCUUAAGGGUAUAGAAGAGGAAGAAGAAAAUAAAAAAGAAGAGAAAGAGGAGCAUGAGGAAGAUGAAGAGCUCUCAAAUUGUUGAUAGCCUUGAAUCCACCGCCGAAGUAUUAUACACAGAUAGAGAGAAAAUAAAGGCGAGAUAUCUAUUCAUACCGCGUGACUGGCGUGAACAAUGUGGAGUCGAUCGCGCCGUUCGUUCAUUGCACCGACGUACGCGACGUGCGGGCCAGCCGGGCGGUGGCCACCGGAUUUGGCUGGUUGUCGCCGCGCCACUGCACGGUGAUCUUGACGCUGCCAUGGAUCACGCAUGGAAUGAUCCGUACGUGCGCCUCCGUUUGGUUGCAUCGCGAGAAGAGAGGGGUUUAAGUUGUGUUUAGUUGGAUUGAGGUUUUUAGUUUUUGGUUGAAAAGUUGGUUUUUGGUUGAUGGUUGAUAUCUUUUUACUAUUAGUUUUUUAAUAAAUUUUUUACUUUCUAACA